AGAGGUGUAUGAACAAAUUGACCUGCUAAUUCAAACAACUGAGGAUAAAAUCCCCAGACCUCUU
rnacentral:tRNA from 1 species